rnacentral:lncRNA from 1 species
ACCUAGCUCCGUGAAGGAGCUGUGAGCGACGAUGUCGAGUUGGGGUGCCUCCUCCUCCGGCGCCGCCGCUCUCAAUCCAAUUCCUUGUAGCAGGAGAAAGAGGGUAAGAGGCAGUGAAGCAUGAUCGAUGGAAUCUCACAGAGGAACCAUGGCAUUAUAGCCUCAUCGGAAGGUAGGGGGAGGGAGAACGGCCACUGUUGAGCGGUUAUAACCGCCUCAACAGUUUCCUUCCCGAAGCUCCCACUGUUGGACCUCUAGAUGGGCCACCGACUACGAUCCAGGUUGGCCCGUCUGGGCCCAAUAAUUACAGUGGGCGUCUCAGUUAAAUUCAACAUGAAAGGCACGCGUUUUUGCAGGCUGAUCUCACUAAUAAGAAUGAACUCAAACACAGAUCAUGUAUGAAUUCUUGUGCUCCAAUCCUCACGUUCUUAGCCUCUGUCAGUCUUGCUACAAAAUUGUGCUGCCUCAGCAUGCACGAUGCUCAUUCUCUGAACAUGUAGAGCCCAAAAUAGGUGUAAUUUGGUUGUGUAUCUCUAUUUGAAACUAACGAUUCUUAAUGAGCUUUUGUUACAAGCUAUUGAUUUUUCUUCAUUACUGGUUAGCUUCUGCUGACGUUCCUUUCUUGGACCUCUAUAAAUUUCAGAGAAUGAGCAUAAUUUGCUUGAACUUUGACGCUAGCAACUGGUAAAAGGAUAAAUCUAUUUAGUAUUUCUGAAAAUUGAAGGGUUGGAGUUUUUGGCAGUCCUCAUAUGGGCAUCCUUGUAAAUAUGACUAAAAUAUCC